UUGUAUUGUAUAAAAACAUGGAUCCGUAAAUCCGGAUUUUCCAGUACCUAUGGUGAUAGGGCCCAUAUAGCCGAGGCGGUAAACGCACGGGUAUUCAGCAUGACCAUGCUGAGGGUGACGGGUUCGAUUCCCGGUCGGUCCAGGAUCUUUUCGUAAAGGAAAUUUCUUUGACUUCCUUGGGCAUAGAGUAUCUUCGUGCCUGCCACACGAUAUACGCAUGCAAAAUGGUCAUUGGCAGAGGAAGCUCUCAGUUAAUAACUGUGGAAGUGCUCAUAGAACACUAAGCUGAGAAGCAGGCUUUGUCCUAAUGAGGACGUUACGCCAAGAAGAAGAAGAAGAAGAAGGAAAAUUCCUGGAGAAAUCAUUUAUUGAAAUUGUUGGAGAAUUUCCAGAAAGUACAGUGUCGUUUCGGUUUUAUCACUAGUCGUUUUAAUCACUACUCGCCCAAAUUCACGGUUUUCUGUUCGAUUAUAUCACGAUUUUCAUUUCGUUUUUAUCACACUUGUUUUAAAACAUUCCGAAAUCAAUAUAAAGUCAAUACAGCAUUGUCCAGUCCACCAAAAUAGUUAAAAAGUAUAAGCUACGACUUAUAUAUUUUGCAGCUAAACGAUUUUGGAUAAAAAAAAAUUACGUUUAUGUCUCGUUUAGCUAAAUUCAGCUAUUUAUAAAGGAAUUUCUGUUUAAAUUCCUAGCAAAUAUUUUUUUGAAAAAAUAUGUAGAAAUAUUUGUGCAGAGAUCAUAAGAGUUAUCCUUAAAGAAAAUGCCUUAAAGAAAAGUCUGAGGUAAUGCAAUAUCUGGAGGGAAUCCUGAAGGAAUCUCUGUAUGAACUCCCGCAGGAAUCUCUUAUCGUACAGAUUCCUGGUAAAAUCUAUGGACAAUUUUUCAAGGAAAACCAUGGGAAACUUUUCUAGAGGAGUUUUUGGGAAAUUUCUAGAGGAUCCUCUAACGACAACUCCGAAGGAAUUUCUAAGGGAAAUUCUGAAGCGAUAAAAGGAAGAUGAUCUAAAGUACUUUCAAAAGAAAUCUUUGAAAGAUUUUCCGAAUGUAAUUCUUGGUGGAUUUUUAUAGAAAUCCACGGAGUAAUAUCGGAAGGACUCCGGGGAAGAUUUAUUUCUGGUAGCCUGCAGAUAACUUUGGAGAAAAUUCUAAAGAAAACUAAGAUUUUUUGAAGGAAUCAAUGCGGAAGGACAACAUUUCGAAAAAAAUGGCACAGGUAACUUUUAUUAUAUCUUCAGCCGUACACAAUUUCGUAAAAAAAUCACAUGAGCUGUCACUAAUGACAGUAUAAUAGACUCUAUCGCCUUCCAAAAUAUUAAAGCUCCUUUUUUCUUUCACGACAAGGUAUGGGAGCAUAAACAAAAUUUUAAAUAUCAUGAAGGAAGUUUUUUUUUGUAUGCGCAACAAUAUCGAAAAAAUCAAUGAAAUGAUACUUUUAUACUUAGAAAUGGAAGAAAAAUUCCAAAUUCCCAAUUCCGUAAAAGAGUUUCUUCACACCUUCUCUGGGGCGCUAAAGCUUUGAUUAUUACUAAAGGCAAUUUUACACAUGAAAAACCACAUAAAGUGAUUUUUUUAUAUUUGGGAGAGUGGAUGAAAAAUAUUUGAUAUCACAGUAGUUUUUAUAGAUAUAAAAGUGUAAAACCAUAGAGGUGAUUCAGAGUACAUUUUAAUAUCAUAAAUGAGACUUUUUUACGCGUCUAUAAGUGUAAAAAAUGCAAUAUUGACAAAGUUAAUUUUGCUGAUAUUUGAAAGGACGUAAAUCAUCUAAAAUCACAUAGGCAAUUUCCCAAUAUUAGACAGAGCGCAAGAAAAAAAUCCAAUUUCACAAAAGUUCAUAAACUAUUUGAGAGCAAAACAAUAAAAAAACCUUUUUUCUUACAUACCUAAACCAGGGCAGCGAACUUUUACGCAAGGGAGUGGUUUUGGGGGUUAACCCGUCAUAUUACCCAAGUUCCAUAUAGUAGGUGCCCUUCUGCAUUUUAUUGAAAAUACGAAAAAAAUCCUCUUUUGCCGCCUUUUCUGAGCACUAAAAUUUUCAAAAUCACUAAGGCGAUUUUCUCAAAAGC